rfam:Medicago truncatula strain A17 chromosome 1, whole genome shotgun sequence.
AAACAGCCCCCUAUGUUUUGAUUCUUUGACAGUUUUGGACCUCCAAGGCAAAAAAAAAAAUAAAAAAUUGACACGUGGUAUCCACGUCAGCGUUGACCGAGUCAACAAUGGACUGAGGGUCCAAAACUGCCAAAGAAUCAAAACAUAUGGGGCUGUUU